UCUGAAUCCGUGCUGAGAUUUU
rnacentral:miRNA from 1 species